rnacentral:lncRNA from 1 species
ACACAGAAAGGGGAGUACUAAACACUGGGGUCUACUGGGGGGAAAAGGGGAGGGCCAGUGGGAGGGGGAGGUGGGGAGGGAUAGCCUGGGGAGAAAUGCCAAAUGUGGGUGAAGGGGAAAAGGAAAGCAAAGCACACUGCCGUGUGUGUACCUACGCAACUGUCUUGCAUGCUCUGCUCAUGUACCCCAAAACCUAAAAUCCAAUAAAAAAUUAAAAAAAAAAAAGAAAUAAUCCAGACUGGGCAAUUUAUAAAGAAAAGAGUUUCAACUGGCUCACAGUUCCACAGGCAUUACAAGAAGCAUCAUGCUGGCAUCUGCUUGGCUUCUGGGGAGGCCUCAGGAAACUUAUAAUCAUGGUGGAAACUGAAGAGGGAGCAGCAGUGUUACAUGACCCGAGCAGGAGGAAGAGAGAUGGGGGAGGUGCCACACACUCUUAAAAACUGGAUCUCAUGAGAACUCACUCAAUAUCAUGAGAACAGCACUAAGGAUGGCACCAAACCAUCUGGAGUAAUGCACUGCCAUGAUCCAACCCCCUCUCACCAGGCCCCACAUCCAGCGCUGGGAAUUAUGAUUCAGCCUGAGAUCUGGGUGGGGACACACAUCCAAACCCCAUCACAAACAAACAAGCAACAAGAACGCAGUGAACCCCAUUUGCUCUCUCAAGGAAAUAACCGUUUCUAAUGUAAAGUAAUCAGCAAAGCUGAUUAGCUGAAAGAGUUAAAUGAAAAAAUUAAGAAGGGUUAGGAGGUGCAGGGGAAGCCAGUUAAACUUGUUUUUUUUUUUUAAAGUGUUUUUUUGUUUUCUCUUCUCUCUCUCUCUCUUUUUUUUUUUUUGCAAGAGGCCUCGGUUUGCAGUCUGCAGAGCUACAUGGCUGGCGGGAGACCCCUGAAAAGAAACCGGAGGAGCUAGCUGACAAAAGAUUGGAAUCCUGGGGCCUUCCGUGUGGUCACCCUUCAUUGCUCUCGUGUGACUCCCUGAAGGAGCCCUUCUCUCCCAUUCUGGACCUUCCAAAGCCAUCUGCCUACCUGGCCUGGUCCAUCGCAGAUACUGGUCCAUGGUCAGUUCCCUGUCUCCGCAGAGCCCUGCCCUCCUCCUCCACGGGGUCUCUGACUUCCCACUUGCCACGCCCCUCUCGGGACUUGCGGAGGUGUUGCAGAAACCGGUGCCAGUGGGUGCGGGGGAGAAUGCCUGGAUCUGGACUCAGACUAACUAGAGUUCUGAUUCUGGUGCUGGGAUUUAUCAGCUGUGGAAGACCAGACACAUUCAGCUCUUCCAUGACUUCAGUAUACAUCCCAAACUGA